rnacentral:misc_RNA from 1 species
AAAGUCGUAACAAGGUUUCCGUAGGUGAACCUGCGGAAGGAUCAUUACCGAGUGGACCGUCGCGAGACGGGACUACCCGACCUAUUGUCAUGUGCACGUGUGGGGUGUGGGGAGAGGUGCGGCUUGGGAUGGUUACCCGGAAGGGUUUGACUUGAACGGCCCACGUAUCCACCACCCCAGCGAGAGGUAAUUUCGGCGGAAGAGGUAGGCGCUUAGACCUGCCCGCCGCCGGCCGUAGUCUUUUAACUCUCACGAGAACCUGAAGUCUGAAGCGAAGCGAAAAGCAAAUGAGAAGCAAAACUUUCAACAACGGAUCUCUUGGCUCUG